AGAAUGUACACGCACGUGACUAAAUGGGCAGAUAGACAGAGCGAGCUGACCUAUAUCUUAACUUUAGCGUAUAAGUACGGCUUUAAGAAGCGAGUAAUUGAAGGGAUUGUAAGAGCAGUGGGAAAUAUUCUGAUAAAUGCUGCCAAUAUCACCGAUAGACAUGAUUCCCGGACGACAACGCCGGCUCCUCUUGUACAGGUCACGUAUUACCCCUCUACGGAUAGAAUACUGACUAAGGCAAUCAAGCAGGGUACUACAAAGAUGGUGAAGAAACGGGACAACAAUAUUUGGCUUGCUCCAUAAUGAUAAGGAUAGAAUGGAGGCUGGUAGGAAAGCGGGAGUAUAUGAAAUACCGAUAUUUAACAAAGAUGAGGCCAGGCUACAAUAUUAUAUUGGCAGCACGAGGAGAGGGUUAGAUAUCAGGCUUGGCGAACAUAAAGCUGACCUUAGAACUGGAAGGCUUAGUACAGCUCCC
rnacentral:lncRNA from 1 species